UACAGAGGUCUCAAGCGUUGUUCGGAUUCAUUGGGCGUAAAGGGUGCGUAGGCGGCGCGGUAAGUCGGGUGUGAAAUCUCGGAGCUUAACUCCGAAACUGCAUUCGAUACUGCCGUGCUUGAGGACUGGAGAGGAGACUGGAAUUUACGGUGUAGCGGUGAGAUGCGUAGAUAUCGUAAGGAAGACCAGUGGCGAAGGCGGGUCCCUGGACAGUUCCUGACGCUGAGGCACGAAGGCCAGGGGAGCAAACGGG
rnacentral:rRNA from 1 species